rnacentral:rRNA from 1 species
ACGGGAGGCAGCAGUGGGGAAUCUUGCGCAAUGGGCGAAAGCCUGACGCAGCGACACCGCGUGGGGGAUGAAGGCCCUUAGGGUCGUAAACCCCUUUCGGCAGGGACGAAGCGAUCACGUGACGGUACCUGCAGAAGAAGCCUCGGCUAACUACGUGCCAGCAGCCGCGGUAACACGUAGGAGGCGAGCGUUGUCCGGAAUCAUUGGGCGUAAAGAGCGCGCAGGCGGCCUGGCAAGUCGGGUGUGAAAUCCCGGGGCUCAACCCCGGGACUGCAUCCGAUACUGCCAGGCUAGAGGUAGGUAGGGGAGAUCGGAAUUCCUGGUGUAGCGGUGAAAUGCGCAGAUAUCAGGAGGAACACCGGUGGCGAAGGCGGAUCUCUGGGCCUUACCUGACGCUCAGGCGCGAAAGCUAGGGGAGCGAACAGGAUUAGAUACCCUGGUA